rnacentral:rRNA from 1 species
CUACGUGCCAGCAGCCGCGGUAAUACGUAGGGUGCGAGCGUUAAUCGGAAUUACUGGGCGUAAAGCGAGCGCAGACGGUUACUUAAGCAGGAUGUGAAAUCCCCGAGCUUAACUUGGGAACUGCGUUUUGAACUGGUAAGCUAGAGUAUGUCAGAGGGGGGUAGAAUUCCACGUGUAGCAGUGAAAUGCGUAGAGAUGUGGAGGAAUACCGAUGGCGAAGGCAGCCCCCUGGGAUAAUACUGACGUUCAUGCUCGAAAGCGUGGGUAGCAAACAGGAUUAGAUACCCUGGUAGUCCACGCCCUAAACGAUGUCAAUUAGCUGUUGGGGCACUUGAUGCCUUAGUAGCGAAGCUAACGCGUGAAAUUGACCGCCUGGGGAGUACGGUCGCAAGAUUAAAACUCAAAGGAAUUGACGGGGACCCGCACAAGCGGUGGAUGAUGUGGAUUAAUUCGAUGCAACGCGAAGAACCUUACCUGGUCUUGACAU